rnacentral:rRNA from 1 species
UAUUGGACAAUGGGCGCAAGCCUGAUCCAGCCAUGCCGCGUGAGUGAUGAAGGCCUUCGGGUUGUAAAGCUCUUUUGGCGGGGACGAUGAUGACGGUACCCGCAGAAUAAGCCCCGGCUAACUUCGUGCCAGCAGCAGCGGUAAGACGAAGGGGGCUAGCGUUGUUCGGAAUUACUGGGCGUAAAGCGAGUGUAGGUGGUUGUCCAAGUUGGAUGUGAAAGCCUUGAGCUCAACUCAAGAAAUGCAUUCAGGACUGGAUGGCUAGAGGACCGGAGAGGAUAGUGGAAUUCCCAGUGUAGUGGUGAAAUACGUAGAGAUUGGGAAGAACACCAGUGGCGAAGGCGGCUAUCUGACAGUUUCGACACUAAGACCGAAA